rnacentral:rRNA from 1 species
UCGAUUUGGGGUUUGUUGCCUAGAGUGAUGGGCUCCGAAGCUAACGCGAUAAAUCGACCGCCUGGGGAGUACGGCCGCAAGGUUAAAACUCAAAUGAAUUGACGGGGGCCCGCACAAGCGGUGGAGCAUGUGGUUUAAUUCGAUGCAACGCGAAGAACCUUACCUGGUCUUGACAUCCACAGAAUCUUUCAGAGAUGAGGGAGUGCCUUCGGGAACUGUGAGACAGGUGCUGCAUGGCUGUCGUCAGCUCGUGUUGUGAAAUGUUGGGUUAAGUCCCGCAACGAGCGCAACCCUUAUCCUUUGUUGCCAGCGAUUAGGUCGGGAACUCAAAGGAGACUGCCGUUGAUAAAACGGAGGAAGGUGGGGACGACGUCAAGUCAUCAUGGCCCUUACGACCAGGGCUACACACGUGCUACAAUGGCGUAUACAAAGGGAAGCGAAGGUGCGAGCUGGAGCGGACCUCCUAAAGUACGUCUAAGCCCGGAUUGGAGUCUGCAACUCGACUCCAUGAAGUCGGAAUCGCUAGUAAUCGUGAAUCAGAAUGUCACGGUGAAUACGUUCCCGGGCCU